rnacentral:rRNA from 1 species
AACGAACGCUGGCGGCAGGCUUAACACAUGCAAGUCGAGCGCCCCGCAAGGGGAGCGGCAGACGGGUGAGUAACGCGUGGGAAUCUACCCAUCUCUACGGAAUAACGCAUGGAAACGUGUGCUAAUACCGUAUACGUCCUUCGGGAGAAAGAUUUAUCGGAGAUGGAUGAGCCCGCGUUUGAUUGGCUAGUUGGUGGGGUAAAGGCCUACCAAGGCGACGAUCCAUAGCUGGUCUGAGAGGAUGAUCGGCCACACUGGGACUGAGACACGGCCCAGACACCUGCGGGAGGCAGCAGUGGGGAAUAUUGGACAAUGGGCGCAAGCCUGAUCCAGCCAUGCCGCGUGAGUGAUGAAGGCCCUAGGGUUGUAAAGCUCUUUCACCGGUGAAGAUAAUGACGGUAACCGGAGAAGAAGCCCCGGCUAACUUCGUGCCAGCAGCCGCCGUAAAAC